rnacentral:ncRNA from 2 species
AACAAGUCAUUCGGUUUUGGUGGGUAUCAGCCACCAAAGGUAACGGGGAAAGUUAGGUGUAAGUCCAACGCUGUCCCGCAACUGUGAACUAACUUGAGAUUUUAGAGCCAUCUCAAAUUGAGUGAGUCAGAACGCCCGCCAAAGGUGACUUUUUUUU